rnacentral:lncRNA from 1 species
AAAAAACAUAAAGUACGUUGUAUGGCUGAAUCACCAUCGGUUUUGAACAAUGGUCAAAGGGAAUUAGACGCAAGUCCCUUUGAGCCGUCAGUAGCUUUAACAGGUAACAUAUAUUGAUGAAGAUCACUUAUAUUUUGUAGAAAUACCUACUUGAACCAAGAUAACUUGGGCGUUUGAUGUAUAUUUUUAGCUUCUGAGAGAUUGAUCUUAAAAGAAAUAAAAAAGUUGAAUUGGGAAAUACAGGAUAUGAAAAAAACAGUAAACAAGAUUCAGGACCUGUUGCUCACAAUUAGCAUGAUUAAUAUUAAGUUCUAGUGAAGAACCUUUUCAACUACCAAUUGAGAACCACGCUUUACUAGAAUCUAUAGAGCAGCAUUUAGAAGAUGAAAAAAAUAUUGAACUUUUGGCUCAACGAUUAUACCUUUGUGGAGGGGACAAUACCCACAAAUCUGUUUUUUUAUUAAUGAAAAAUGUUUGCCAGAGAUGUAGUAAUGCUCUAUUCUGGAUCAGGAAAGAAGGGAAAAUUAUCAUUUCAGAAGUUGUCAUGCGCCACGGAUGCAGGUAUUAACAAAUCCAUAUCUUUGUAUUUGACAGGAGCAGCA